GUCGAGCCUGCGCAUGCGCGCUGCACUGCAUGCAACUGGCGCAGUCGCAACCAUUUAAUUUGAAAAAGGAAUGCGCCCGUUUUUCGCCGUUAAAUGUUGCAGCCUAAUUUUGGAUCGAGAAUUAAGUGCGACGAAGAUGGCCGUUAAUAAUAGUUCUACUACUUUAAGAACGCGGUUCAGAUUUGGAUAACGACUUCGAAGGCAUUCGCAGGAGACCAAACAGAGAAAGAGAGGGAGACACAAAACCACCUGUCUCGGUGUCACACAUGAGGAGUUGAGGAGGAGAUGAAGUCAGUGAAUAUUACCUGGCCUUGGGGAGUUUCCAGAAGAAGGCCAAGAAUCGCUGGAUGCCAGGAGUGGAGAUCCUUCGUUGCUGCCCUACAUGAUAGGAGGCAUCGGGCAGUAGAUGCUGUAAUUUGAAACGGAAGGUGUCCUGCCAAUAAAUUUUCAUCCCACCUGAACUGCCUUGCCUGCCUGCACUCAGUCAUCUGUUCCUGAGCAUUUUCAUUUUCCUCUAUUUUUCAUCAUCGUUUGUUUCGGCCUGUAUGAAGUGAAUUUCACAUUGAUUGGUGGAGCUGCUAAGUUGGCAUUACAGGGCCGGGGUAUGAUCCUUUGGGUUGAACAUCAUGACUGCUAGUUGGUCGGCAAAGGUGAUGGGAUCGAUCAAUGUCACAUGGAGUAAGAUCGAUACCAAUCUGCUUUGCUACAUUUCAAACAAUCUCAUACGGAUACGGAUAUUAUUGCGACAGGAGUACUGCUCGAUGUGGUCAAGCCUAUUUGACAAAGCAUUAUGGUGUUAGUCAUGUUAUCAGAAACCGAUUUUUCAAAAUCACGGAGUUGCUUCAAUUUAGUAUCGAUAGAUAUUUCAAGAACGUGUAGACUAGUGAGCUUUUCAUCAAGAAUUUCACGCAAUUUAUUUUCACGCUUAUCCAUGUCAUCAUUGAGUUUUUGUCUCUCGCGUUCCAUUGCCACGGCCACCGCUCUUUGAACGACUGUAUCAAUAUGAUCUAGGUAUGCUGGGCUUUGUUUAGAUCCAGUUAAUGAUGAAGCAGAGGAUUGUGUACAUGCAUUAGCCGAGUGCAAGCGGCCUCUUGAUCUGGUGGAUAUCUUAGACAUGUUAGAGAUUACGUAAUUAUAUAAUUGAAAAGUGGGAUGGGCUGUGCAUCUGCCAACUCACCAGUCAACCAAUUAGAGAUGGCCUUCCAAAGUGACACAGCACGAAAAUAUCAAUAUGGGACUGGUCUAGUCAACACAUAGAUCCUGAAAAAACCAUGGAGACUGCAGACGCAAAAUGACUUCCAUACAUAAAGAUAUGAUGCACAAUUUCCAGUGGGUUCAAAACACUGAACACAUGCUAUGCUGAUACACAGACUAUCAUAAGAACUUUAUCAAGCAAAGGAAAUCUGGUAUGAAAUCUCUCAGCUCACAUAAAAAGCCUACGUAGCUACAUGCAGGGAAGAAAAUGCGUAAUUGCUGAGAAAUGAGCAAAAUAAGCAUGUAAUUCUAUCAAAUGUCAGGUAUUUUUCGAAUCGAUUAUAAUACACAGUCCCACAUAUGCUUUUCUGUGUUUACAGCGAUCACCAGAAUUAUCGAUUUUAAGUUAAAAAAUUCAUGAUUUUACAAAGAUACAAGUUUACAUUAAUGUACCAGAUGUAGAUUAUGUACAACAUAUUGACAAUUAACUUUGAUUUUAUAGAUUUUCUCAAGAAAUAAUUGUUUGCUGCAACUACUGUCUUUUCCUUCUAAGUGAUAGUGUAAUACAACAGUUCCACAAACUAUUUUCAUCAGACUUAUUGAUGCAUGAUUCUUUCACCCAAAUGCAAGCUUCCAUAAAUCCUGAAAACUUUGCAACUCAGGUAUUUUUUUUUUUA